UGGGGAAUAUUGCACAAUGGGGGAAACCCUGAUGCAGCCAUGCCGCGUGUGUGAAGAAGGCCUUCGGGUUGUAAAGCACUUUCAGUUGUGAGGAAAGUUUAGUAGUUAAUACCUGCUAGAUGUGACGUUAGCAACAGAAGAAGCACCGGCUAACUCCGUGCCAGCAGCCGCGGUAAUACGGAGGGUGCGAGCGUUAAUCGGAAUUACUGGGCGUAAAGCGCACGCAGGCGGUCUGUUAAGCUAGAUGUGAAAGCCCCGCGCUCAACGUGGGAGGGUCAUUUAGAACUGGCAGACUAGAGUCUUGGAGAGGGGAGUGGAAUUCCAGGUGUAGCGGUGAAAUGCGUAGAGAUCUGGAGGAACAUCAAUGGCGAAGGCAACUCCCUGGCCAAAGACUGACGCUCAUGUGCGAAAGUGUGGGUAGCGAACAGGAUUAGAUACCCUGGUAGUCCACACCGUAAACGCUGUCUACUAGCUGUUUGUGGAUUUAAUCCGUGAGUAGCGAAGCUAACGCGAUAAGUAGACCGCCUGGGA
rnacentral:rRNA from 1 species